AUUUUGUUUUCUAGACUCGUGAAACGCUGAUGUCUAUUCCACAUUUUGGAUCGUUACAUCCCCAAUGAAUAUGUUGAAUUAUAGCCGUCCUGUCCUUUCCUUACCAAUCUAAAAUCAUGUGAAUUUUGAAAUACGUAUACAGAACAUGUCCGCGUCGAUGGAGUACUCACAAUACCAUCCAAGAAUAGUUAAAAAAAUACAUUAUCACUCCAUCGGAUUCAUACUUUUGUGAAAUUCUUACCUAGACUUGAACCAUAUGUGACAUGCAAUUGCCAUUAAGUGAUGACAAAUGGGAAUAAAUUGUGAUUAUGUUUUCAUGGAUGUAAAAAGAAAUAAAUAAAUAGAAAAUUGA